AGUGAACGCUGGCGGCAGGCCUAACACAUGCAAGUCGAGCGGCAGCACGGUGAUUGCUCGCGUUUUCAGGUGGCGACGGGCGGGUGAUUCAGAGGUACAUCGCUAUCUGUUUUUUCUAGGGGGAGAACGCGGGCACUAAUACGGUAUACGUCCUUACGACGUACGGGUGGGAUCAGCGGACCUUACGCUAUUGGGUGAUCCUAGGUCGGAUUAGCUAGUUGGUGGGGUAAAGGCCUACCAAGGCGACGAUCCGUAGCUGGUCUGAGAGGAUGAUCAGCCACACUGGAACUGAGACACGGUCCAGACUCCUACGGGAGGCAGCAGUGGGGAAUAUUGGACAAUGGGCGCAAGCCUGAUCCAGCCAUGCCGCGUGGGUGAAGAAGGCCUUCGGAUUGUAAAGCCCUUUUGUUGGGGAAGAAAAGCAGCAGGUUAAUACCUCGCUGUUCUGACGGUACCAAAAGAAUAAGCACCGGCUAACUUCGUG
rnacentral:rRNA from 1 species